AUCCGGCUAAUGAGUGCCAAAUAGGACGAAACGCGCGUCCUAGAU
rnacentral:hammerhead_ribozyme from 1 species